rnacentral:rRNA from 1 species
GAUCCUGGCUCAGGAUGAACGCUAGCGGCAGGCUUAACACAUGCAAGGUCGAGGGGCAGCGGGUGUAGCAAUACAUGCCGGCGACCGGCGCAAGGGUGCGUAACGCGUGAGCAAUCUGCCCGUAUCAGGGGGAUAAGCGAUGGAAACGUCGUCUAAUACCGCAUAACACAUUGGAUGGCAUCGUCCGAUGUUGAAAGCUUCGGUGGAUACGGAUGAGCUCGCGAGACAUUAGUUAGUUGGCGGGUAACGGCCCACCAAGACCGCGAUGUCUAGGGGAACUGAGAGGUCGGUCCCCCACACUGGAACUGAGACACGGUCCAGACUCCUACGGGAGGCAGCAGUGAGGAAUAUUGGACAAUGGCCGGAAGGCUGAUCCAGCCAUGCCGCCGUGAAGGAUAAGGUCCUAUGGAUUGUAAACUUCUUUUGAGAGGGAGCAAUAAGGUGUACGUGUACACCGAUGAGAGUACCUUUCGAAUAAGCAUCGGCUAACUCCGUGCCAGCCGCCGC